CCUACGGGAGGCAGCAGUGAGGAAUAUUGGUCAAUGGGCGCGAGCCUGAACCAGCCAAGUCGCGUGAGGGAUGACGGUCCUACGGAUUGUAAACUUCUUUUGUCAAGGAAUAAAAUAAGGCACGUGUGCCUUUCCGUGUGUACUUGAUGAAUAAGCAUCGGCUAACUCCGUGCCAGCAGCCGCGGUAAUACGGAGGAUGCGAGCGUUAUCCGGAUUUAUUGGGUUUAAAGGGAGCGCAGGGGGAUGAUUAAGUCAGCGGUAAAAUUGUGAGGCUAAACCUCAUAGAGCCGUUGAAACUGGUUGUCUUGAGUGGGGGAGAGGUAUGCGGAAUGCGUGGUGUAGCGGUGAAAUGCUUAGAUAUCACGCAGAACUCCGAUUGCGAAGGCAGCAUACCGGCGCGCCACUGACGCUGAUGCACGAAAGUGUGGGUAUCGAACAGGAUUAGAUACCCGAGUAGUC
rnacentral:rRNA from 1 species